UCAUAACUCGAUAAUCCACGUAUACCCAACCUUCUCUUGAUAUACUACAGCAUGUGUACUGCCGUUGUAAGCAUACCUCUAAAAGAAUAAGUAUGCCGCUAUGACUAAUAAUUAGCUCAUAUACAUCAGGUCAAAGUGCAGCCAAUGAGAAGGUGAUGAUGGGUUACAACCCCGAACCAGACUAUCAACUAAGAAAUAAAAAAUCUUACAAAAGUGGACUUGGCCGUAAUCAAUUUACAAGUUAAAAAAAUGAAUAAAUAUCUAAGACAUGCACACAUCGCCCGUCACUCUACCCUAAAGGCUAGAUAAGUCGUAACAAAGUAGGUGUAAUGGAAAUUGCACCUGUCGAAGUAUAGCAUAUAUAAAUGCUUUUUACUUACACUAAAAAUAAAGUUAUUUAACUUACUUCGCAUAUACAACACACUCCUACAAUAACAACAUAUAAUAAAAACAAUCAAAUAUUGAAUAACAAAUACAAAAGUACAGAAAUGGAAAAUAUAUUUUAUAAUAGUAAUUUUUAACAACUGUACCUUGUGCAUUAUGGUUUUACAAGAAAAUAAUUAAAAAUAUAUAUCCCGAAUUCUAAGUGAGAUGUUAAACUGCUGUUAAGAACCCAUUAGUAACUGUAGAAAAAGUUUUAAAAGACAGUUUAACAGAGGCUACAUACCAUCCGCAUAAGAAUAUAGCUGGUUUUCAACAAACAUUAUAUAUUAAAGCAUAUAAUUACAUUAUAGUGUUAUAUUAUUGAGGAUAAGCCCAAUAAUUUAAACAAUAUACAAUCAGAUCUACCAUACUACAUAGGCCUAAAAUCAGCCAACUAAAAUACUUUACCGUAAUAAAUAAAGACAAAAUAUAUAAUAUUUAUAUGUCAAAGAAAGUUGAAAUAAUGGACAAGCCCUUGCUCCAAAUCUACUAUGUAAAAAUAAGUAUUAUAAAUCUAUUACUACAACAACCUAGUAAAUACAACAAAUUAGACAUAAUAAUUAAUUAAGGAACUCGGCAAAUUACUAUUUAGACUGUUUAACAAAAACAUUGUCUCAUGAAAUAAAUAUGAGAUAAUACCUGCCCAG
rnacentral:rRNA from 1 species